CGAGCUGGUGUGGACUGAGGUCUUCAAAUCCCAGAGUGGCG
rnacentral:tRNA from 12 species